rnacentral:pre_miRNA from 1 species
AGAGUACUCCCUCCGUUCCAAAUUACUCGUCGCAUAAAUGGAUGUAUCUAGAACUAAAAUACAUCUAGAUACAUCCAUACUUGCGACAAGUAAUUUAGAACGGAGGGAGUACAAG